rnacentral:piRNA from 1 species
UAGUAAAAAGAGAUUUGAGCGAC